UACGUAGGGUGCAAGCGUUAAUCGGAAUUACUGGGCGUAAAGCGUGCGCAGGCGGUGAUGUAAGACAGUUGUGAAAUCCCCGGGCUCAACCUGGGAACUGCAUCUGUGACUGCAUCGCUGGAGUGCGGCAGAGGGGGGAUGGAAUUCCGCGUGUAGCAGUGAAAUGCGUAGAUAUGCGGAGGAACACCGAUGGCGAAGGACAAUCCCCUGGGCCUGCACUGACGCUCGAUGCAC
rnacentral:rRNA from 1 species